GAGCUUGCUCCUGAUGGCGAGCGGCGGACUGGUGAGUAACACGUAGGUUAUCUGCCUCGUAGACUGGGAUAGCCACUGGAAACAGUGAUUAAUACCGGAUAUUGUCAUUCGUGAUGAAAGGUGCGUUUGCACCACUGCGAGAUGAGCCUGCGUCCUAUUAGUUUGUUGGUGGGGUAAAGGCCUACCAAGGCGUCGAUAGGUAGCCGGCCUGAGAGGGUGAACGGCCACAUUGGGACUGAGAUACGGCCCAGACUCCUACGGGAGGCAGCAGCUAAGAAUAUUCCGCAAUGGACGAAAGUCUGACGGAGCAAUCCCGCGUGAGUGAUGAAGGCCUUCGGGUUGUAAAGCUCUUUCGGUAGGGAAGAAUAAGGUAUAUAGGAAAUGAUAUACUGAUGACGGUACCUACAGAAGAAGCACCGACUAAUUACGUGCCAGCAGUCGCGGUAAUACGUAAGGUGCAAACGUUGCUCGGAAUCACUGGGCGUAAAGGGUACGCAGGCGGUUCAAUAAGUUAGUUGUGAAAUCUUGGGGCUUAACCUCAAGUCUGCAAUUAAUACUGUUGAACUAGAGUUGUAAUAUAGGUAGCAGGAAUUUCUAGUGUAGGAGUGAAAUCUGUAGAUAUUAGAAGGAACACCAAUGGCGAAGGCAAGCUACUGGGUAAACGACUGACGCUAAUGUACGAAAGCUAGGGGAGCGAAAGGGAUUAGAGACCCCUGUAGUCCUAGCCGUAAACGAUGUAUACUAGUUUUAUGGUCUUUUACUAGACUAUAUAACAAAGCUAACGCGUUAAGUAUACCGCCUGGGGAGUAUGCACGCAAGUGUGAAACUCAAAGGAAUUGACGGGGGCUCGCACAAGCGGUGGAGCAUGUGGUUUAAUUCGAUGAUAAGCGAAAAACCUUACCUGGGCUUGAACGUAUAAUGACAGCUUAUGAAAGUAAGUUUCCCUUCGGGGCAUUAUGCGAGGUGCUGCAUGGCUGUCGUCAGCUCGUGUUGUGAAAUGUUGGGUUUAGUCCCGCAACGAGCGCAACCCUUAUCCAAUGUUGCUAAGUACCCUUCGGGGUGCAGGACUCUUUGGAGACUGCCGAGGUUAACUCGGAGGAAGGCGGGGAUGACGUCAAGUCCUCAUGGCCCUUAUGUCCAGGGCUACACACGUGCUACAAUGGGUUGUACAAAGGGAAGCAAGAUCGCGAGGUUUAGCAAAUCCCAAAAAACGAUUCUCAGUUCGGAUCGCAGUCUGCAACUCGACUGCGUGAAGUUGGAAUCGCUAGUAAUCACAGAUCAGCAUGCUGUGGUGAAUACGUUCUCGAGCCUUGUACACACCGCCCGUCACACCACCCGAGUUGAAUUUACCUGAAGUCGCUGUACCAACC
rnacentral:rRNA from 1 species